GUCUCAAAGAUUAAGCCAUGCACGUGUAAGUACACGCCUUUUUAAAGCGAAACUGCGAAUGGCUCAUUAAAUCAUAUGUGAUUUCUUAGAUCGUACGGUUCCUUCGGGGACCGGUGGAUAACUGUGGUAAUUCUAGAGCUAAUACAUGCAAUCAAGCUCAGACCUUCGGGGACGGGCGCUCAUAUUAGACCAAGGCCAACCUGUGGGGCAACCUGCAGACGUCUGUGGUGACUCUGGAUAUCCAUCAGUUGAUCGCACGACCUUCGUGUCGGCGACGUAUCUUUCAAGCGUAUGCCCUAUCACCUGUCGACGUUAGGUUAACAGCCUAUCGUGGGUUUUACGGGUAGCGGGGAAUCAGGGUUCGAUUCCGGAGAGGGCGCAUGAGAAAUGGCGACCACAUCCAAGGAAGGCAGCAGGCGCGCAAAUUACCCAAUGCCGACUCGGCGAGGUAGUGACGAAAAAUAACAAUACGGGACUCUUUUGAGGCCCCGUAAUUGGAAUGAGCACAAUCUAAAUCCUUUAGCGAGGAUCUAUUGGAGGGCAAGUCUGGUG
rnacentral:rRNA from 1 species